rnacentral:precursor_RNA from 1 species
CUGCAUCCACUGAUAGACCUUGAACAAUUUACUGUUGUUCUUUUGGUUUGCACUAGGAUGCAAAAGAA